rnacentral:tRNA from 1 species
GGGAGUGUAGCUCAAUGGUAGAGGACUUGCCUAGCAUGCAAGAGGCCCUGAGCUCAAGCCCCAGCACUGCAA